rfam:Neotoma lepida isolate 417 scaffold_278, whole genome shotgun sequence.
GUGGUGGCUCAGAGGUUAAGAGCACUGACUGUUCUUCCAGAGGUCCUGAGUUCAAUUCCCAGCAACCACA